rnacentral:rRNA from 1 species
CAGCCGCCGCGGUAAUACGAAGGGUGCAAGCGUUACUCGGAAUUACUGGGCGUAAAGCGUGCGUAGGUGGUGGUUUAAGUCCGUUGUGAAAGCCCUGGGCUCAACCUGGGAAUUGCAGUGGAUACUGGGUCACUAGAGUGUGGUAGAGGAUAGUGGAAUUUCCGGUGUAGCAGUGAAAUGCGUAGAGAUCGGAAGGAACAUCUGUGGCGAAGGCGACUAUCUGGGCCAACACUGACACUGAGGCACGAAAGCGUGGGGGGCAAACAGGAUUAGAGACCCGAGUAGUCCCUGUCUCUUAUAC